rnacentral:sRNA from 2 species
UUCGCCCGUAGUUUAUGAGGAUGAGUACCUCCGCAGGAGGUUCGAGCCUCGCGAAGCGAGACAACGUUGCUUCAGCAACGGCCCGCAGGGCGCGUAUCAAAGAUGCGCGUAAUCCUCUCUCGCCGACCA